CACUGUCACUCCUACGGGAGGCAGCAGUGAGGAAUAUUGGACAAUGGGCGCAAGCCUGAUCCAGCCAUGCCGCGUGCAGGAAGACUGCCCUAUGGGUUGUAAACUGCUUUUAUACGGGAAGAAACACUCCUUCGUGAGGGAGCUUGACGGUACCGUAAGAAUAAGGAUCGGCUAACUCCGUGCCAGCAGCCGCGGUAAUACGGAGGAUCCAAGCGUUAUCCGGAAUCAUUGGGUUUAAAGGGUCCGUAGGUGGAUAAUUAAGUCAGAGGUGAAAUCCUGCAGCUCAACUGUAGAAUUGCCUUUGAUACUGGUUAUCUUGAGUCAUUAUGAAGUGGUUAGAAUAUGUAGUGUAGCGGUGAAAUGCAUAGAUAUUACAUAGAAUACCAAUUGCGAAGGCAGAUCACUAAUAAUGUACUGACACUGAUGGACGAAAGCGUGGGGAGCGAACAGGAUUAGAUACCCUGGUAG
rnacentral:rRNA from 1 species